rnacentral:rRNA from 1 species
UACAGAGGGUGCGAGCGUUGUUCGGAAUUAUUGGGCGUAAAGGGCGCGUAGGCGGUGCGGUAAGUCACCUGUGAAAUCUCCUGGCUCAACUGGGAGCUUGCAGGCGAAACUGCCGUGCUGGAGUGUGGGAGAGGUGCGCGGAAUUCCCGGUGUAGCGGUGAAAUGCGUAGAGAUCGGGAGGAAGGCCGGUGGCGAAGGCGGCGCUCUGGAACAUUUCUGACGCUGAGGCUCGAAAGCGUUGGGGAGCAAACAGG